rnacentral:rRNA from 1 species
UGGGGAAUCUUGGACAAUGGGCGCAAGCCUGAUCCAGCCAUGCCGCGUGGAUGAUGAAGGCCUUAGGGUUGUAAAAUCCUUUCGCCGAGGACGAUAAUGACGGUACUCGGAGAAGAAGCUCCGGCUAACUUCGUGCCAGCAGCCGCGGUAAUACGAAGGGGGCUAGCGUUGUUCGGAUUUACUGGGCGUAAAGCGCGUGUAGGCGGGUCGUUAAGUUGGGGGUGAAAUCCCGAGGCUCAACCUCGGAACUGCCUUCGAUACUGGCGACCUGGACCCAAGGAGAGGCGAGUGGAAUUGCGAGUGUAGAGGUGAAAUUCGUAGAUAUUCGCAGGAACACCAGUGGCGAAGGCGACUCGCUGGACUUGUGGUGACGCUGAGAUGCGAAAGCGUGGGGAGCAAACAGGAUUAGAUACCCAGGUAGUCCCUGAGCGGGCUGGCAAGGCGCAU